ACUGCUGCACAAUCAUUGUUUUUUUUGUUUAAUUCUAAUAUGAAUUCACGUGUGAAUUGGCAUAAUGUGUUAUGUGUGUGGGUGUGAAAUUACAUUCCAAUAGCCUGCAAAACAUCCCCAUGCCUAUAGUACCCCCAGUGUUUUAGGUUUUAGAUGUUUAAAUGAAUCACACUUUGUCUUAAAUAGGAUAGGGUAUGUUUAUAUGGAUGUCAAAGCAUGCCUGAUGUUGAUAUGACUCUGAAUAUCUGUUCAGAAAUGUUGCUCCUCAGCCUGAUGGCCUGUCUGGUUAAGACACUGCUUCUGCCAUCCCAUCCCCCGUGCCAUUCCCCUACCCCCCACUGCCCCCCUCUCUCACUUGUACACUUGGGAUUUUUCCGCUUCUGUCCCUGGGCAGCCUCAGUGACCAGGCUCAAGAGGUGUGUCCUGGCUGUGCUGUACAUCUGUGUGCUUAACCCCUUAGCACAGCACCUAUGUUAUAACCUUACUGUCACCAAAAUUUUAAGAUGUAUGUCUUAAUCUGUUACUCUGCACUGUCAUAGCAAUGUUGUUAUGAUGUAGUUUUCAGCAAAUAGUGAAUAAGCCCGCUGGCAACCCCAUCUGCACUGCAGUAAGAGGCUACGGAAUGCUUUUUUGGGGGGUGCAACACCCAUCGCCAUUUUUUUUUUUUACAAUACCACUCCACCAGGAAAAAUGUCUAAUUGUUUGCCUGUCUAUUUAUUCAUUCUUUUUUCUUUUCUUUUGUACAAGGCAAGUUGCAGGAAGCAGCUGAAGUAAAGGAAGCCAAGAGCAUCCUCAUUCACAUCAAGGACAGAGACUGUGUGGCUCUGGAGGUGCAGUACCACAGAAGUUGCUACAGAGAGUACACAAGGUUUUUGAGUGAGCCUGUCAGAGCAGAGAAAGAACAGAUUGGGCCAACAUUUGAUCUGAGCUACAAGUUAUUCUGCGAGAGGGUAAUCCGCUAAAGGCUACUGAUCAACCAAGAGCUGCUGAGGAUGAGCCAACUGAGGAAGGCCUUUAUUGCCCUUGUGCAGUCAAGUGAAGGUGUUGAUGCUUCAACCUACAGACAGGAUAUAUUGAAGAAGAGGCUCAGUCGUGAUUUUCCUCAGCUAGUGUUCCACACCCCCGCCAAACGCAACACAUCUGAACUGGUUUUUGCUGAGAACUUGUCGACGAAUGCAGUCUUGGACUUGUUACCAUCAGGUGCGGAGACGACUCAGUCCAGCGAAAUGAGCCAGACAGACAGCGACACAGAAAGGAGGAAGUCAAAGCAACCAACCACAGCAGAGGAGACACGGACACUUUACACAGCAGCUGCAGUAAACUUCAAUCUCACUGAAGUCAUUUUCUGUGGCAUGCGCAAAAGAUGUGUACCUGGAUGCUUUCACACAGUUCAUGAAAAUGCCGGUUCAUGUGUAUGCCACUUGUUUUGAUUUUUUUAUUUGUUGUAUAGUUAUUAGUGAAUAAAUGAAUACAUGAAUA